CCUCCAACAGCUCCUGCUGCAGAGAUCCCAUUAACCUCUGUACUGCCAGUCCAGAUUGCCCAAAUCAACUCCUUUAGCUUUGGCCUGGCUGGAAUUUGGAAGGAAAAAGGGUCAUCAGUAACUGGAAGAGUGAGGCAGCAGCAGAGGAAGCAGAAGGACUGCAGGGAAAGGGAUGAGCUCACUUUCAACCAGAGAAUAUGUUCAGAAAGGCAAGAGUUUGACAAAUGAAGAUUUAAAUCCCUGAAAAAACAAGGAAAAAGAGCACAUCAAUGGAUCCACGUGCUGGAUAUGAUAACAGUUGGUCUGUCUUUGGAUGGCAGAGGAAGAUAAGACACAUGAGAGUGCUCUAAUUAUGAGACAAAAAUAGCAAGGCCUCUGAACCCCUUUAAUGUUCUUUAAUUUUCUGGUGAUUUCAUCAACUGAAUUUGGUCAAGCUGAUCACAUUAUUCAGUUGUUACUCAUAGCCAGGAAAUGACACAGGCUGCACACAAGCUGGGCUGCAGAGAGGGGAAAAAAAAUAAAUAAAAUAAAAUCAAUGCUCUUGGAUGCUGCACUAAUGGAUGUGGGCUCAGAAACCUGAGCUGCUGGAGCAAGAGCACAGACUGGAUGUGAAACAAAGACCUGGAACACAGAGAUGCAAACCCAAGGAAUUAUUAAAACAGGUUCCUGCACCCAAGAUAGUUCCCACUCUAGCAAAUUCAGCAUCCUAAAAGGAAAUUUGAGUAAGAAAAACAACAGACAAUGCCACAAGAACAAUUCCUACCCAAAACAAAAUCAAUGUGCUCAGCAGCACCUGGAAAAAGAGAACUGGAAGUUUCCUGCUUUUUGAACCUCAAGAAUAUUUCUCCAGCAUCAAUUAAAGGAAAAAAAGUUUCAAAGUGGGCAUCUUCAUUGUCAUCCUCCUAAAGAGCAAUUUUUAAAACCAAUUUAAUUUCAAUGAAGGGUCUGACAAAGAUUCAUCUCAUUCUACUCCAGAUCAAAAUUAAGAACAACAAAGCCAGGACAAAGGAUUUCAAUUUGUUCUUCCAAUUAGAGAACCAUCCCCAAAGGCCAAAACCAUUUCCUACCUUUGUGAUUUCCUUGAAAAAGGCCUCAAACCUCCACUUGUACAAGAAGAAGGAGCAAACAAAUGUCUGAUGUUACAGAGGGAAUAUUUCAACAACACUCACUUCUCACCCAGGCACCAAAUGGAUUUUUAACCAUCUGGGAUUUCCAGUCCAGUCACUACUGGGUGAAACAGUUCAGAGAAUGUGCCUGGGAAAUCCCUCAAAUCCCACUCACCACUGAGCUGAGGUGCUCAAACUCCUGUUCCAGCAGAAAGGAGGACCAUCCAUCCUCCAGGACCUCGAACAUGGGCCGGUAGAAGAAGGGAUACAUGAGGGUGACUGAAUCCAGUGUGGAAAGUGCCUGUGGGGACAAGAGAAAUCAUGGAAUCACAGGUGGGGGUGGAAGGAACCUUAAAGCUCAUCCCAUUCCACCCCUGCCAUGGGUAGGGACACCUUUCACUACCCCAGGCUGCUCCAAACCCCAUCCAGCCUGGCUUUGAAAACUUCCAGGGAUGGACAGUCCAAAACCUCUGGGAAACACCCCACAACCCCCCAGUAUGUGAAAUAUUCCAGAUUCUUCUUUGCCUUUCAAAACAUGAAAACCUAACUGGAAAAAAUAAAGCUCUUAAGGCUGAGGUGAGCUCAAGACCUGCAGGUUUUCUGGGUGAUGGUAGCUGCUCACCUCAAUGGAGCUGGCAAUGUUCAGACACUCCUCCAUCCCUGGGAUGUCCAGCUGGAUAAUCCUCAGGUCUUUGCAUUUUAUCACAAUGGUGCCCAAGGAGCCCACGAACCUACAGCAAGACAGGAAAAAAGACUCCCAUAAAAAACAGGAUCCUCUAAGGCAGGAGAGGUGGCACAGCUAUUCCCACGAGGCAAACCUCCAUGAGGGGCAAUUUGUCUGCAGGGGAACCUUUCAGGAAAAUAAAGGAACAAACACAACUUGUUA